AAGAGAACAAGGAAGAGCCUUUUGCCAGAAGACAUGAGAGGAGGCGGUAGAGGUGACUACCGGCGUGGAAGAUGGGGUACCGACGCUCUGAGAAGACUGAUUUUUUUUUUCCAGGAUCACACAGUGAGUGAUUUGGACUGAGACUGCUGGCAAGACACCCAGAGCCUGGCAGGACAAACAGAUACGCGCCACCCUUUGUUCUUGAAGCUGGAAAUAAUCGUUAAGCAAACGAUGAAAGAUGUGAAUAAAAGAUGGAAGGAAGAAGAAGAAGAAGAAGAAGAAGAAGAAGAAGGAGAAGGAGAAGAAGAAGAAGAAGAAGAAGAAGAA